UACAGAGGGUGCGAGCGUUGUCCGGAAUCACUGGGCGUAAAGAGCUCGUAGGCGGUCUGUCGCGUCUGCUGUGAAAACUCAGGGCUUAACCCUGAGCUUGCAGUGGGUACGGGCAGACUAGAGUGCGGUAGGGGAGACUGGAAUUCCUGGUGUAGCGGUGAAAUGCGCAGAUAUCAGGAGGAACACCGGUGGCGAAGGCGGGUCUCUGGGCCGAUACUGACGCUGGAGGAAGCGAAAGCGUGGGGAGCAAACAGG
rnacentral:rRNA from 1 species